ensembl:snRNA U2 U2 spliceosomal RNA
AUAAAUUUUUCGAAAGAAAAAUCUGUUCUUAUCAGUUUAAUACCUGAUACGUCCUCCAUUCGAGGACUUUAUAUUAAACGGAUUUUUAGAGCGGGAGCUGGAAGAGGGGCUUGCUCCGUCCGCUCCACGCAUCGACCUGGUAUUGCAGUACCUCCAGGAACGGUGCACCUUUU